GCUAUCACAAAGCCCGGAUGACAUGCAGGCUCCCUGACCUGGCCGUCACUGAGGAUGGAGUGGAGGGGCCCCAGCUCCCCCGACAGCUCCAGGAUCUCGUUGUCAUCUGGCUGCCACCCAGACGACCUCGAGGCCUCCAAACCUGGUCCCCCCUGAGCACUUCUUCUGCAGGGUGAAUCGCCAGGACGGCGUUGUGGUCCUUCCUCAGCCACGUGCUUCCUCUGCAGGAUUUAGGAAUCUAUCUGGGUCCCUGAAGGUCAGAGCAAGCGGAGCAAGCGGCUGCCUUUCUUCCCCUUUCCUGGUGUCUCGUGGUCAAAGCUUCACUGAAGACUCAAUGCAAGGCUUACGGCAAAUCCCACGAACAGGCUGGCAUGACUGUGUGGACGGGUGGCCCUUCAGCCCUUGCAGAGCAGUGGGGUGCGGGCCUGGCCACCAGCCUGGGGCACCCAGGGCGUCUGUGUCACCCGUGCAGGGGAUCAAGUCGGAGACCUCUCAGUGAGGUUCAAGACAUUUCUUGGCUCCGAGUCGGAAGAAGGUACACGGUGUAGCAAGCAGCUGUAUGUCCCAUGCUCACCAAGUCUUGGCGCCGCAUGCCACCUCUGCUACUUAUCAGGAGCCCGUGGUGUGUCUCCCCAUCAGCAUUUGGAGCUACCAGACUCCUGAGCAAUGUUUAUGCCCCACAGGGCCUCUGAGGACCAAAGGCUCUUCAUUUUACUGAAGCAAAUCCAGGUGGGCUUGUCCUUGUCGGUGGUGUGAUCUGCGUCCUGGCUCAGCUGUCUCUGUCCCAUGGCCCUACGUUCGGAGCUGGCUUCCAUGUGCUCCACCGUGGGCCAAACCCUGCCAGGCCGAGCACCAUCCUCCUCCCUCUGGGUGCCUGGAGCUGACAGAGACAUGAGGGGGAGCCUGAGGCUUCCCGCUCCCAGCUCUUGUCCUGCAUCCCCUGGGCCUUGCACUGAUGCUGACCUAGCUCAGGGCACACGGUACUCUCCCCCCGGCCUGACUCAGCACAGGUGGAGCAUCCACGAAGGUGCCUGGGCUGCAGCAUGGGACGCGGAGCCCACCGUGGUGCAGAGCGCUCUCCUGCAGCGACCCCACAUGCCUUGUGAGGGUGGCCAGGCAUCAGCCAGGGCCAGCUGGCUUCCUGCGCUCUCAUCCUCCAUAGUCCCCCAUGGCCCCUCAGUGGCUCCCACCAGCCAGGCCCCCCUCCCACUGAAUGCUGAUCCCCCGCCAACCACGCAGCGGGAGGGGGGGUGUUAUUUUUCUUUUGUUUUCAUCCCAAUGUUGAUGCUCUUUCUGGUUCUACACCUAAUGUUAU